GGUGAACGCUGGCGGUAGGCCUAACACAUGCAAGUCGAAUGGCAGCACAGUAAGAGCUUGCUCUUACGGGUGGCGAGUGGCGGACGGGUGAGGAAUACAUCGGAAUCUACUUUUUCGUGGGGGAUAACGUAGGGAAACUUACGCUAAUACCGCAUACGACCUACGGGUGAAAGCAGGGGAUCUUCGGACCUUGCGCGAUUGAAUGAGCCGAUGUCGGAUUAGCUAGUUGGCGGGGUAAAGGCCCACCAAGGCGACGAUCCGUAGCUGGUCUGAGAGGAUGAUCAGCCACACUGGAACUGAGACACGGUCCAGACUCCUACGGGAGGCAGCAGUGGGGAAUAUUGGACAAUGGGCGCAAGCCUGAUCCAGCCAUACCGCGUGGGUGAAGAAGGCCUUCGGGUUGUAAAGCCCUUUUGUUGGGAAAGAAAAGCAGCAGGUUAAUACCCCGCUGUUCUGACGGUACCCAAAGAAUAAGCACCGGCUAACUUCGUG
rnacentral:rRNA from 1 species